rnacentral:rRNA from 1 species
GGGGAAUUUUCCGCAAUGGGCGAAAGCCUGACGGAGCAAUACCGCGUGAGGGAGGAAGGCUCUUGGGUUGUAAACCUCUUUUCUCAGGGAAUAAGCAAGUGAAGGUACCUGAGGAAUCAGCAUCGGCUAACUCCGUGCCAGCAGCCGCGGUAAUACGGAGGAUGCAAGCGUUAUCCGGAAUGAUUGGGCGUAAAGCGUCCGUAGGUGGCUGUGUGUGUCUAUUGUUAAAGAGUUUGGCUCAACCAAAUAAGGGCGGUAGAAACUACACAGCUAGAGUGCGUUCGGGGCAGAGGGAAUUCCUGGUGUAGCGGUGAAAUGCGUAGAGAUCAGGAAGAACACCGGUGGCGAAAGCGCUCUGAUAGGCCGCAACGACACUGAGGGAUCAAUUGGAA